CACGUAGGGGGCAAGCGUUGUCCGGAUUUAUUGGGCGUAAAGAGCUCGUAGGCGGCUCUGUAAGUCGGGUGUCAAACCCUCAGGCUCAACCUGGGGCUCCACCCGAUACUGCAGUGGCUAGAGUCCGGUAGGGGAGCGUGGAAUUCCUGGUGUAGCGGUGAAAUGCGCAGAUAUCAGGAGGAACACCAGCGGCGAAGGCGGCGCUCUGGGCCGGAACUGACGCUGAGGAGCGAAAGCGUGGGUAGCAAACAGG
rnacentral:rRNA from 1 species